UUUAAUUCCUUGAAUUUUUUUAUUGAAUGUGAAUGGUAAAAUAAUUAAAAUUAGAAUAGAUAUAAUUAAAGCAAUUACACCUCCAAGUUUAUUAGGAAUAGAGCGUAAAAUAGCACAAGCAAAAAGAAAAUAUCAUUCUGGUUGAAUGUGAAUAGGAAUAAAUCAA
rnacentral:lncRNA from 1 species